AUCGAUUUCGUGUUGUUUUCCAGAACAGCCUGCAUCAUAAAGACUAAAAGGCAGUUAUAGAUGUUCUAAAGUCAAAGACGCUUGUUCAGCCCUACAGAAAGCUGACGUUAAGGAUGUACCACGCUGAUACUGAUCUCAGUGCUCAAAACAUGAUGUUUGUUUCCUAUCCCAGGUCCAGGAAAUUGAUGCUUUGAGGACAGAGAAUAGGAAGCUUAAAAACGCGAACUCCAGGCUGCGAUAUAAAACAAAAGAUUGGGCGAUAAGGAGAGAAGAAUAUAAAAAGUAAGGAUGAGGAUAAUCUUGCAUCGGGUUAAAAAUGAUCUACAGCUGAGCUAAAUGGAUGUGGCUUUGUGGUUGAGAAGGGCAGAGCGAAUUGCACCCGCAAUUAAUAAAUCUUCCCAAUUUCUGGUGCCUAAAGUUCUGUGACAAAUCGAUGUCUUUAUCAGCUUUGUACCUGAGAAUGGUUCUGUCGAGUAACGCAGCUAUUUGCAUUUUGCUUUCUUUUCCAAGUGAGAUCGAGAGACUUUCUGGCGAGAUCUCCAACUACUUAAAUGUCACCAACUUCUGGGAUGAAGAGUCUGAGCAACUGAACGGCCCAGAUAAGAGAACGCCACGGGACCAGACCAAACAUGCGAGCACUCAGACAGAGGGCGCCUGCGGAGCGGAGGAGAGGUAAGGGCUGGGAAAAAGGUGCUGGAGCAGGGCUGCCGUGGCGCUGUCCUGGCCCUACAAAACUCAGCAGCUUCUUGGUCAUAAGCCCUACAUCUCUUGGGACAUGA
rnacentral:lncRNA from 1 species